GCAUCUAUGGCUAAAUGGUUAAAGCAUUUAACUCAUAAUUGGUGAAUUCAUAGGUAAAAUUCCUAUUGGAUGCA